AUUGAACGCUGGCGGCAGGCCUAACACAUGCAAGUCGAACGGUAACAGGAAGCAGCUUGCUGCUUCGCUGACGAGUGGCGGACGGGUGAGUAAUGUCUGGGAAGCUGCCUGAUGGAGGGGGAUAACUACUGGAAACGGUAGCUAAUACCGCAUAAUGUCGCAAGACCAAAGAGGGGGACCUUCGGGCCUCUUGCCAUCGCAUGUGCCCAGAUGGGAUUAGCUUGUUGGUGGGGUAACGGCUCACCAAGGCGACGAUCCCUAGCUGGUCUGAGAGGAUGACCAGCCACACUGGAACUGAGACACGGUCCAGACUCCUACGGGAGGCAGCAGUGGGGAAUAUUGCACAAUGGGCGCAAGCCUGAUGCAGCCAUGCCGCGUGUAUGAAGAAGGCCUUCGGGUUGUAAAGUACUUUCGGCGGGGAGGAAGGGAGUAAAGUUAAUACCUUUGCUCAUUGACGUUACCCGCAGAAGAAGCACCGGCUAACUCCGUG
rnacentral:rRNA from 1 species